GUCUACAGUCAUGCCACCCUGAACAAGCCUGAUGUCUGAUCUUGGAAGCUAAGCAGUGUUGGACUUGAUUAGUACUUGGAUGGGAGGCCACCUAGGAAGA
rnacentral:rRNA from 1 species